UGGUCGGGAUAGCUCAGCUGGUAGAGCAGAGGACUGAAAAUCUCUG
rnacentral:tRNA from 1 species